CUAGACCAUCCUAAUUUUGGACCGUCCAGGGCUGCUACACCCCUUGGCCGCAUAUGGUGUUCAUAUAUAUACUAAGUCAUGAUCUUUUAAGCAUCGAUAUUUAGCUUAUAUUAAGUAUCGAGUUGCGUGGCACACUACAAUAGUGGUGAAUGAUAAUGGUUAGAUUUAAAAUUAAUUACAUCACCCAUUGUAGUUUGACACCUGAGUAUGGCACAGGUACUUAUUAGAUCAAAUCCGUGUAUAUAUAAAGAACUAUAUGGCUUGUAUAUCGCAACUAACCUCAAGAAAGUCCUUAUGGAACCGAUCAGGGAACCAAAGCUUCUUAUGAGCUCCAACUUUGAGAAGUGCCCGGCAGCCCUUAACGGUGGUCGGCAACAAAAGCUCCGCCGAUGAAUUGAACCCAAGUCUGCUAAAUGUUGCACGGCUAAUGGAGUCCGUCAUAGCCACAACUGAACCAGAAACCGCCAGUGCCUCCACCAAAUCAGGGUACAAUUCCGCCAUCUUAAACGCAACCAUACCGCCGUAGCUAAAUCCAACCACCGUGCACUUUUCAAUCCCCAACUUCCUCAGCCCCUUGGCCAGACACUCCGCCUGAAACGUCGGCGACCUGUCGGAGCUGUCCGUGAUUGAACCGCCGAAAAAGAGCAGGUCCGGCACGUAAACUGAGUACUUUUUUGUCAAUGAACCCACCUGGAAUUGCCAGGUGACAAUGCCGUCGGCCGCAAAGCCGUGCACCAGUACCACCACGGGUUUUGUUGGUUUGGCAGUGGAGUCGGCGGAGGCCUCAGUGGUUUUAGAUUUUUUUGGCUUUUGGAUUGUUUCAGAGGGGACCCAAAUGCUCAGAACCGUGCCUGGUUCGAUCUCGAUUGUGUGAGGUCGAAUCCCGGCCAUUUUCACCAGGCCAUACAACAGUGACCUUAGAGCUGCAACCAGGUUCACCAUCACCGUGCGUGUUAGUGCUACGGACAGCAAGUGAGAGGGAAUUUAACCAAGGAAAAAAGAGCGUAGGUGUUUGGCUGUUCCGCUGCUUCCUUGAUCAACUAUUUUGUGACCACUCAUUUUCAAUUAUAAAUUUCUUAUUUUCACAUUGUAAAUUUUAUCUCAUCCUGAUCUUCGUUUAUGUUUUCAUGUAUUUUAGAGUGUAUUUGAUUUGCUGUUUUCAAUUUUUAGUUUUUGUAAAAUAUUAAAAAUGUGUUUG
rnacentral:lncRNA from 1 species